UACGUAGGUGGCAAGCGUUGUCCGGAUUUAUUGGGUUUAAAGGGUGCGUAGGCGGCUUUGUAAGUCAGUGGUGAAAUAUGGCAGCUCAACUGUCAAGGUGCCAUUGAUACUGCAGAGCUUGAGUACAGAUGAGGUAGGCGGAAUUGACAGUGUAGCGGUGAAAUGCUUAGAUAUCGUCAAGAACACCUAUAGCGAAGGCAGCUUACUAGGCUGUAACUGACGCUGAGGCACGAAAGUGUGGGGAUCAAACAGG
rnacentral:rRNA from 1 species